UACGGAGGGUGCGAGCGUUGUCCGGAAUUAUUGGGCGUAAAGGGCGCGUAGGUGGCCCGGUCAGUCUUUGGUGAAAGCGCGGGGCUCAACCCUGCGUCGGCCAGGGAUACUGCCGCGGCUCGAGCACUGUAGAGGCAGGCGGAAUUCCGGGGGUAGCGGUGGAAUGCGUAGAGAUCCGGAAGAACACCGGUGGCGAAGGCGGCCUGCUGGGCAGUUUGGCUGACACUGAGGCGCGACAGCGUGGGGAGCAAACAGG
rnacentral:rRNA from 1 species